CCGUGGCCCAGAACCCCUGCAGGUGCCGUCUGCCUGCCAGGCCGCCCUGUGGGUGAUUCACAACCUAUCACACCUGGCGGGAACGCCCCAGCGGGCCCACCUGCAUCCCGGGAGCUGGCCAGGCUGAGCUCGCCGCCCACGGGGUCCUACCAAGCUCAGCGGGCAGAGGGAUCACCAGGGGAGAGUGGGAGCUGUUGUGCGGAGCCCUGGCCACCCAGGUCCGUGGGGGACGGCAGUGCUGGGCCUUCAUUCCAGCAGCCUGAGGCUCGGGACGUUUUGACCCCCAGCGAAAUCGGGUUCAGCUGCCAGAGACCUUCAGCACACAGGCAGGGUCCCUGAGGCUGCAGGGAGCCUGGCGUCUCUGCUGGCUCGCCGCAGAGGUGUGGGCCCAGGGCCUGCUGUGUGGGCCGGUGGCGAGGGUGCUGGGAAGGCAGCCCGGGCGCUCUGGGACGGGGCCCCAGAACAGGGCUCUGACAGCCGCCUGCAGGCCACCAGCUGGCCACGAAGACAGAAAGCAGAGCAAACCUCCAACGGCCACCUGGAGAGGAUCCCACUCGGAAAUCACCUCCUCAGGGAAGGCCUCCCAGAUUUCCCGGACCAGCUCGGGUCCCUGUUACACAGAACACCUCAGGCUGCCCUUUUAAUCACCAGGCAAGUGACAGAGGAGCUGUGAGUUGUGCUCUCAGCCAGAAGGCAGCUCCGAGAGCGAGGAGGCCCCUCUGCCCAGGCCGCACUGCGUCCCGGCACCUGGACCAGCGUCCACUCGGACGAGGGGUGCACGCGUUACUGCUCUCAGGACCGCACGUGCAGGGAAGACAGCUGAGAGGUCAACCAAGGCCACUGGAGCUGAGCCCACGGGACAGGAGGAACAGGGUGUGGAGUCUCAAGGCUGCCUUUUGCAGGAAACGAGUCUGGUAACACUUCUCGGUCACUCUACUCGGAGAGGCCCGAGGUCCAGAAUCCAGAGGAUGAAGGCUCCUACCGCAGACACCCCGGUGACAAGGAGGAUCGCCGCCACCCAGUAGCUGCCGCUCUCCGCCAGCUGCAGAGCAC